UCCGGAGUAGCUCAACGGUAGAGCGGGUGACUGUUAAUCACUAGGUUGGGAGUUCAAAUCUCUCCUCCGGAG
rnacentral:tRNA from 2 species